rnacentral:lncRNA from 1 species
AUGCCCCAUUUACUGAAGAGUUUCCAUUAUUUUCAACGUGUCUGUAACUUAUCUUCUCACUUAUACCUUACUUGUUUCUACUUGAAUACCUACAGUGGUCCAGUGCAUGCCAAAAAUCACAAAGGGGAGCAGCAGGGGCCAGAGAGUUAUGAGAAGAUGCCCAGAAAGAUGCAGCUAACAGAAGAGAAUUCACCUCCUGCCAAUCAAAGAAAAGAUCAGAGGCCUCAUCCCAUGACUUGUUGUGACUGGUUGAUAUUAAUGACUUGUUAUGACUGGUUGAUAUUAAUGACUUGUUGUGGCUUAUUGUUGUGCUUGUUAUGUCUGGUUGAUAUCAAUGCCAUACAACACUCCUUCCGUGGCCUCCAACUGCUCUUAAACGCUAGUAAAACCAAAUGCAUGCUUUUCAACCGGUCGCUGCCUGCACCUGCAUGCCCGACUAGCAUCACCACCCUGGAUGGUUCUGACCUAGAAUAUGUGGACGUCUAUAAGUACCUAGGUGUCUGGCUAGACUGCAAACUCUCCUUCCAGACUCAUAUCAAACAUCUCCAAUCGAAAAUCAAAUCAAGAGUCGGCUUUCUAUUCCGCAACAAAGCCUCCUUCACUCAAGCCGCCAAGCUUACCCUAGUAAAACUGACUAUCCUACCGAUCCUCGACUUCGGCGAUGUCAUCUACAAAAUGGCUUCCAACACUCUACUCAGCAAACUGGAUGCAGUCUAUCACAGUGCCAUCCGUUUUGUCACUAAAGCACCUUAUACCACCCACCACUGCGACUUGUAUGCUCUAGUCGGCUGGCCCUCGCUACAUAUUCGUCGCCAGACCCACUGGCUCCAGGUCAUCUACAAGUCUAUGCUAGGUAAAGCUCCGCCUUAUCUCAGCUCACUGGUCACGAUGGCAACACCCAUCCGUAGCACGCGCUCCAGCAGGUGUAUCUCACUGAUCAUCCCUAAAGCCAACACCUCAUUUGGCCGCCUUUCGUUCCAGUACUCUGCUGCCUGUGACUGGAACGAAUUGCAAAAAUCGCUGAAGUUGGAGACUUUUAUCUCCCUCACCAACUUCAAACAUCAGCUAUCUGAGCAGCUAACCGAUCGCUGCAGCUGUACAUAG